GACGAACGCUGGCGGCGUGCCUAAUACAUGCAAGUUGAGCGCUGAAGGUUGGUACUUGUACCAACUGGAUGAGCAGCGAACGGGUGAGUAACGCGUGGGGAAUCUGCCUUUGAGCGGGGGACAACAUUUGGAAACGAAUGCUAAUACCGCAUAAAAACUUUAAACACAAGUUUUAAGUUUGAAAGAUGCAAUUGCAUCACUCAAAGAUGAUCCCGCGUUGUAUUAGCUAGUUGGUGAGGUAAAGGCUCACCAAGGCGAUGAUACAUAGCCGACCUGAGAGGGUGAUCGGCCACAUUGGGACUGAGACACGGCCCAAACUCCUACGGGAGGCAGCAGUAGGGAAUCUUCGGCAAGGGAAGAAAGUCUGACCGAGCAACGCCGCGUGAGUGAAGAAGGUUUUCGGAUCGUAAAACUCUGUUGGUAGAGAAGAACGUUGGUGAGAGUGGAAAGCUCAUCAAGUGACGGUAACUACACAGAAAGGGACGGCUAACUACGUG
rnacentral:rRNA from 1 species